ncrna:unclassified sequences S15-Methanomicrobia ribosomal protein leader
AGCACUUUACAUGUGCUGACAGAUGUAAGUCCGACGUGCGACACCGCACUGCCUGAAACAUACGGCUUUGGGAUUAC